UUGGGUCCCAGUUAAGGACAUGGAAAUGUGCAUUCUGAAAUCUGGGAUUUCAGAAUUACUAUGGAACACUGACUGUUAUGUGCCUCCUGUUCAUCCCUUUUGAAUGGGAGCAUUUAUUGCAGUUUUCCUAUCCUCAUAUGACUAUUGGAUGUUGUGUUUGUGUUACAGAUGACUUGACUGUAUUUCACAGGUCUUCAUAUCAAGAGGAACCCACACUCAAGGAAGUACGCCUGAAGAGCUUCAUCUGCAGCUAGACCUCAUUUAGGAACCUCUCACCUCAGUCCAGCACAGAUUCCCAUCUCCACUACUGUUCAUUCAUGUUUGCUCUGCAAGGAUCUAUCUGUCCAUCUCUGCCUAGGAAAUGACUAUUCUGAAUUCAAGGCACUCACUGAACAUGUGCUAGAUGAGAACUCACCAUGGAUGAAGCACUGGGUACUGGACAAGGGGCAAGAUCAGCGAGGAGGAAAAAGCUGGAAGACAGAAGGCAGCGUAUCUUCUGAUGACCACUCCAAAUGGAAAUAUCAUUUCCAAAAUAGACUGUAAGCUCCAUGAGAGCAGUAACAGGGUCUGACUUGUCCACUGCUGGAUCCCUAGUUGUGCUUGGUACAAAGUAGCAUAGCAAUUAUUGAACUCUUCCAAUAAUUGCUACUAUGUAGCUCAAUAGUUUUUUUUCAGUGCAUAAAUACAUGUGACAGAUAUUCUUUUAUUUAUUUUUUUGAGACAGAGUCUCACUCUGUCGCCAGGCUAGAGUAGAGAAGCACGAUCUCAGCUUACUGCAACCUCUGCCUCCCGGGUUCAAGCGAUUCUCCUGCCUCAGCCUCCCAAAUAGCUGGGACUACAGGCGCAUGCCACCACGCCCAGCUAAUUUUUGUAUUUUUUAGUAGAGACGGGGUUUCACCAUAUUGGCCAGGCUGGUCUUGAUCUCUUGACCUCGUUAUCUGCCCGCCUCGGCCUCCCAAAAUGCUGGGAUUACAGGUGUGAGCCACCGCGCCCAGCCCUUCAUGUGACGGAUAUUCUUAAACUAUCUUCCCAUCUCCUACUGGAGUUACAAAUGCAUGGAUCUAGACUUCUUAAAAGACUGGACAUUCCUUAGGGCAGGGGUUGUAACUUAAGUCGUGUGUGCAUUCUUUAUAAUGAAGCAUUUUACAAAGUGGUUUCACAUACAUUACUGCUUCCGUUUCUCAUUACAGCCCCAUUAAUAUUCCCCACCUGAUGAGGAAACUUUCUUCAUUCUCCUUCCUGCUUCCUCUUCUCUCUCCUCUUCCUCUAGAAUGCGUGUAUGGUCUAUGUUCCUUCUGUCUCUAAUCCAGAAAGAGAUUUAGAAUAACUAAAUGCAGAGUCAAAGAUUAUGUCCAAAUAAAGUUAGAGUUUGUGUGUGUGUGAGACAGUGUUUUUAGUUAAAUGUCAAUAUUUAAAAUAUACUAUGACUUUUAUACCAUA
rnacentral:lncRNA from 1 species